CAUUUAUGAAAAGAUAAAUCACUUUUCUAUAAUACAUCAAUGAUAUUUCAAUGGAAUAAAUUACUUAUUGACUUAUUCAUACUUCAAAAACAGCAUCAAUAAGUGAUUAACAUGGGGGGGAUCAAAAUAAAAUAAAUAAAUAGAAUAAAAAUCAACCAGCCACCCUCCUCCCCUGACAAGUAAAGAGCAGUCCCUUCAUAAGUAAAGAACAGUCCCUAAAGUGCGGUGAGGUUUGUGGACCGUUACCUGCCACAAAGAGAGAAAUGUGAACGGCUCGUUUGUCCUCUGACACGUCACAUACCUGUGUGCUGCCAUGGCUCGGCUGUCCAGGUACUACUGGGCAGUCAUGACACCAACGAAAGAGGAAAUUACUGGACCUGGAGCCGGACUUCUCCGUCGCCGGUGAAAAUCCAGACUGUGAAGUUGAUGUUAAAGUGCGCCGACACACAGUUUAUGAAUCUCUCCCUGGAGAAGACCUCAGGAUUAACUGCACUGUUACGUUCUGCAAAAACUCACCACCAACAGUCACCUGGUAUAAGCCAGAGAUAAUUGAUGUCCCUGUCAAUUUUAGCAGGAGCAGUCACAUGACAACAGAGUGGGAACUUUUAAACCAUUCAGAAGGAAUAUCGUUUUUAAUCUUCCACAAAACACGUACAUGACACGGGUGUGUAUCAGUGUCAAAGUGGAGGCGGUGUGGGUCAUAACAUCAAGGUCUUUGUCUGGGAUGUCAAACUCACCACAGGUACAUGGACAACUUUGGAAUUAG